UACGGAGGGAGCUAGCGUUGUUCGGAAUUACUGGGCGUAAAGCGCACGUAGGCGGCUUUGUAAGUUAGAGGUGAAAGCCCGGGGCUCAACUCCGGAACUGCCUUUAAGACUGCAUCGCUUGAAUCCAGGAGAGGUGAGUGGAAUUUCGAGUGUAGAGGUGAAAUUCGUAGAUAUUCGGAAGAACACCAGUGGCGAAGGCGGCUCACUGGACUGGUAUUGACGCUGAGGUGCGAAAGCGUGGGGAGCAAACAGG
rnacentral:rRNA from 1 species